rnacentral:rRNA from 1 species
CAGUCGAGCGGAGAGAGGUAGCUUGCUACUGAUCUKAGCGGCGGACGGGUGAGUAAUACUUAGGAAUCUGGCUAUUAGKGGGGGACAACAUUUCGAARGGGAUGCUAAUACCGCAUACGUCCUACGGGAGAAAGSRGGGGAUCUUCGGACCUUGCGCUAAUAGAWGAGCCUAAGUCGGAUUAGCUAGUUGGUGGGGUAAAGGCCUACCAAGGCGACGAUCUGUAGCGGGUCUGAGAGGAUGAUCCGCCACACUGGGACUGARACACGGCCCAGACYCCUACGGGAGGCAGCAGUGGGGAAUAUUGGACAAUGGGGGGAACCCUGAUCCAGCCAUGCCGCGUGUGUGAAGAAGGCCUUAUGGUUGUAAAGCACUUUAAGCGAGGAGGAGGGURCUGGUAUUAAUACUACCAGGUACUGGACGUUACUCGCAGAAUAAGCACCGGCUAACUCUGUGCCAGCAGCCGCGGUAAUACAGAGGGUGCGAGCGUUAAUCGGAUUUACUGGGCGUAAAGCGUGCGUAGGCGGCUAAUUGAGUCGGAUGUGAAAUCCCCGAGCUUAACUUGGGAAUUGCAUUCGAUACUGGUUAGCUAGAGUGUGGGAGAGGAUGGUAGAAUUCCAGGUGUAGCGGUGAAAUGCGUAGAGAUCUGGAGGAAUACCGAUGGCGAAAGCAGCCAUCUGGCCUAACACUGACGCU